GGAAUAUGCAGUUUCAAGAUUAUCGGGUUGUUGGACGUACUGUUAAUGGACGAGAUAUUCUAGCCUUUAUUUGUUUCUGCAAAAUUAUAUGCUUCCACGAGAUUAGGGGGAGUUAGUUAUGUCCGAGCUUAUCCAUAGGGUGGAUAGCUGUUGCAUGUGUUACGGAAUCGAUUGGCUGAGGCAACGGAGGGAGCUCACGUGUCAGAUAGGCUGCACAAUUGACUGGAUAAAAAUAGGUCUACUCUACAUACCUCAGAUCGAUAUCUGGGUCGGCAACCGCGAAGAUAGCUCAUUGAUCUUAGGUAGCAAUGAUAGCACAACAGAUCUGAGGUAUCCACGAUACUACCGUAACAAUGAGGAUUUUAG
rnacentral:lncRNA from 1 species